GACGAACGCUGGCGGCGUGCCUAAUACAUGCAAGUAGAACGCAGUUGCGAACGGGUGAGUAACGCGUAGGUAACUGCCUCAUAGCGGGGGAUAACUAUGGGAAACGAUAGCUAAUACCGCAUACUGUGAGAUGGACCUGCGUUGGAUUAGCUAGUUGGUGAGGUAAAGGCUCACCAAGGCGACGAUCCCUAGCUGGUCUGAGAGGGUGAACAGCCACCCUGGAACUGAGACACGGUCCAGACUCCUACGGGAGGCAGCAGUGGGGAAUAUUGCACAAUGGGCGCAAGCCUGAUGGAGCCAUGCCGCGUGUGUGAAGAAGGUCUUCGGGUUUUAAAGUACUUUUAGCGGGGAGGCGUUACUCGCACAAGAAGCACCGGCUAACUCCGUGCCAGCAGCCGCGGUAAUAC
rnacentral:rRNA from 1 species